rnacentral:lncRNA from 1 species
UUGGUUCAUUUUGGAUAUGCUUAUUUCCAAACUUACUAACCGCUAGGCCAGGCAAACACACAGCCGCACGAGCAAAAAUCAAAUCAAACAGAACACCAAAACAUGGUGAUAAAGGUUCUUGCAUGCAAGUCACAAGAAGAUUUUAUUACUGGACAUCAUUGUCUAUUGUUUGGCAUGAUGCUAGACUGCAACUCUAGUGACAAAUGACGCAAUGACAAUGGCGGUAAAAAAAAGUGCCGGCGCAUCUAGCUUUCCUGACAUUGUCCCAGUGACGCGCAAACGAAAUAGCAUUUGAAAUCCAGGCACAGUAUGUCUAGGAUAGGUGUAUUCCUCUCCAUGCAAUACUCUGUAGACAACAUACAUUCGUUAGUAAAAGAACUCCGAAUUAAAAGGGUUCAAAGAAAUUCGUGCGGUUGAGUUGACAAUAUUCAUGACAGCUUUUUCUACAUACUCCGGUCGGAAGGAAAAAGGAAACACACACACACAUAGAGGAACAGGGAGCUUGAUUAUGUACCAGCGCAGGCGGAAUUUCCUAGCAGCACAAGCACCAUGAGGCAAAGCAGAAUAGUUUUGUCCCCCAUAAGAUACAGCAGAAACUUCUGCUUUG